GGACUACACGGGUAUCUAAUCCUGUUCGCUCCCCACGCUUUCGCUCCUCAGCGUCAGUUCCGGCCCAGAGUUCCGCCUUCGCCACUGGUGUUCCUCCCGAUAUCUGCGCAUUUCACCGCUACACCGGGAAUUCCGAACUCCCCUACCGGACUCGAGUCACAGCAGUAUCAGGUGGCCCCUCCACGUUGAGCGUGGAGAUUUCACACCUGACUAACUGAACCGCCUACGAGCUCUUUACGCCCAAUGAUUCCGGACAACGCUAGACCCCUACGUAUUACCGCGGCUGCUGGCAC
rnacentral:rRNA from 1 species